rnacentral:rRNA from 1 species
GGUGCCUUCGGGAACGCUGAGACAGGUGCUGCAUGGCUGUCGUCAGCUCGUGUUGUGAAAUGUUCGGGUUAAGUCCCGCAACGACGCGCAACCCUUAUCCUUUGUUGCCAGCGAUUCGGUCGGGAACUCAAAGGAGACUGCCGGUGAUAAACCGGAGGAAGGUGGGGAUGACGUCAAGUCAUCAUGGCCCUUACGAGUAGGGCUACACACGUGCUACAAUGGCGCAUACAAAGAGAAGCGACCUCGCGAGAGCAAGCGGACCUCAUAAAGUGCGUCGUAGUCCGGAUCGGAGUCUGCAACUCGACUCCGUGAAGUCGGAAUCGCUAGUAAUCGUGGAUCAGAAUGCCACGGUGAAUACGUUCCCGGGCCUUGUACACACCGCCCGUCACACCAUGGGAGUGGGUUGCAAAAGAAGUAGGUAGCUUAACCUUCGGGAGGGCGCUUACCACUUUGUGAUUCAUGACUGGGGUGAAGUCGUAACAAGGUAGGCGUAGCGAG